rnacentral:rRNA from 1 species
AUGGAUCAAAUAUUUGAGGAGUCAUUCUUAACAAGUUGUCUGCCGGUGAUAUUUGAUCCAAGGUACAAAUAUGAAUAUGUUGACUUCCGAAUGACCGCAGCUUUUUGUGGUGGCGCCGAGAAAUAUCUGACCCAGUUGAAUAGUCCGAUGAAGAUCCCAUUUGCUGAAUAUGCAUAUGAAUUUGGAAACACUUCCGAUGAAGGUGAUGAGGUUGCAAAGGAGGAUGGUGAGGGCACUCUUGAUGACUGGGAUAAGCAUUUGAGAUUGAAAGGAUCCCACAACUCAAAUGAGCUACAACGGUAUCUUGAAGAACACUUGUUUCCUCGCCGACAGAAAUUAGAUAUCUUGAAGUGGUGGCAGAUUCACUCCCCAAAUCAUCCAGUGCUUGCAGCUAUAGAAAGGGACAUAUUGGCAGUGUCCGCGUCUACAGUGCCUGCAGAGGCUGCAUUCAGCAAUCCUGGAAGGAUCAUCACUGAUCGAAGAAGUAGUUUGACCCAAAAUGGCCAAAAGGCGGAACCAACAGUUGGAGACCAUGGUGGUGAUCAAGAGGAUGCUGGAACCACCUAA